AAACAGUUUGAGAAGAAUGGAAAGGAAGACACAAUAUACCAAAACUUAUCAGAUAAAGUAAAGCAAUACCUAGAGAGAAAUUGUGAUGACUAUGGAAAACUUUAAUAACCACUUGAUCAAACUCAAAACUCACAAGAUUGAAAUUCAUUAAAGAAGGAAAACAAAGCCACACAGGACCUAGAUCUUCAGCAUACAAGGAAACAAAAAACACUGCAACUUUCAAA